rnacentral:rRNA from 1 species
GUAUGCGAUCAUACCAGCACUAAAGCACCGGAUCCCAUCAGAACUUUGAAGUUAAGCGUGCUUGGGCGAGAGUAGUACUAGGAUGGGUGACCUCCUGGGAAGUCCUCGUGUUGCAUUCC